rnacentral:tRNA from 1 species
UCCCCGGAGGACUAGUGGUUAGGCCACAGCGCUCUCACCGCUGCAGCCCGGGUUCGAUUCCCGGCCAGGGAA